rnacentral:snRNA from 1 species
GACGCGCAUGAAUGGAUUA